rnacentral:lncRNA from 1 species
GCUCACUUCCUCUGAAUGAUAGAGACAGAGAAAUAGCAAAUCUAGGGGAGAGUGGGGUGAAGGUGUGCUUCGACGAGACCCAGCUGGAGCAGGUGUGUGAGUACCCAUCAGAGACCUCCAUGUUUGACUCCACCCACUACCCCUUACUUGGUCAGGAGAAAGGGAGGGAGGAGGAGGUGCAGGAGGAAGAGGAGGAGGAGAGAGGAGUGCUUGUGUCCAGGAGCAGCAGGAAUGUGGGGGCAGCAGCUGGCCUGAGAGUGAUGAGAGUGGAUGAGUCUUGCCAUCGAUAGACAUCAGUCGGUUCGCCAAAUUGCUCAAGUUAUGUGGUUAAGAUUUGAUUUAUCUUGCAAUAUGACUUUUAUUUUCCUGUAUUUUGUUUCUUUGAAAUUAUUCAUUUAAUGUUUGUAAUCUUUUUUGAUGUACAAUGUUUUAUUUUACAUAGGAUCAGGGACUAUUGGUUUUGAUAACAGUUUUAUGUAGUUUGUGAGAUGAAUGUGUAACGAUGUGCGCUGAGAGUCGGGAAGCAAAUUCAGGGAGUGAGUGUUUUAAUAAAUAAACGCAACAUAAUACAUACCAAGAAACACGAACAACGCACAGACAUGAAACAGAAACAAUAACGCCUGAGGAAGGAACCAAAUGGAGUGACAUAUAUAAGGAACGUAAUCAGGGAAGUGAUGGGGUCCAGGCGUGUCUGAUGAUGCGCAGGUGCGCGUAACAAUGGUGACAGGUGUGCGCCAUAACGAGCAGCCUGGUGUCCAACAGGCUGGAGAGGGAGCACACGUGACAGAAUGGUGGAGCCUCAACUCCUCUAUUUCAGGGUAAAAGUGUAAAGACAAUAUGAAAACAUGGUACAUAUUGUAGCCUAUACGUUUUACUAUAUACACUUGUUGUAUUUUUACUGUCAGGUGUGUACUAUUGGGUGAUGAUCACACGUCUAUGCAAGUUAGUGGAUUACAAAUGUAUGGUAAAAAGGGUCCGGUCAGUUUAGUUUUAGUUAGCUUAGUUCAACAACACAACGUCUCUACUGUAUAUAAACUCUGCAUCAGCACUGUAACGAUUCAAUGUGCAUUCCAAAUGACACCCUAUUCCCGAUAGGGCUCUGGACAAAAGUAGUGCACUAUGUGCCCUGGUCAAAAGUAGUGCACUAUAAAGGGAUUAGAAUGUCAUUUUGGACGCAUCCUCAAUGAAGCUUACAGUAUAUCAUCUGGUCCCUGUGCCUGCUGGAUUUGCUCAUACAGAUGAUAUAAAGAACAGGUCAUCUACAAGUCCAAGAUUAAUUUUGAGCCUUGUGAACACCCCUCAUAUGUAGUUUCUGGCAAACCAUGGCUAUAUGUAACAUCAUGACAAUUCUCUUUUAUUCAAUUACUGUUUCUGUUUGAACCACAAAAUGGAUUUCAGCUAGCCUUAAUGCAGAUUAUUGAAAACACUGAUGAUACGUUAUGGAAUAAUCACCAAUAGACAUUAUUAUAAUAUAUUUUUUUAUGUUUCACUGUUUGCCCUUUAGUGGAAUUAAUGUGGUAGAAUGAAAAAGAGUAGUAUAUCUGCUGUAUCUAUACUAAUGUGACUGCACAGUUUUGAAUGGAAAAGGUAUUAUGUUUGUGACUCUGGUGUUAUUGUGUGAGACUACAGCACAUGGGUGAUGUGGGUGAAAACAUGAUUUAAGGGAUGUUUACAACAUUUAAUGCAUAGAAUGGUCCUUUGGAGGAAGGAUUGGUGACAUAUAUUUGGCAUUUGUAUCUAAAAGCAUAAUUGAGAAAUAAUUCAUCAAAGUUGGAAUAUUUAUGAAAUGUUGGUUUUACACAGGUCUCUUUUAAGACCACUUAUGUUAAUCUGUAGGUGCUACAAAGCAAACAUUGGUGGCAUAUGAAGCUUUACCGCUUGCUCUGUAAUGUGGUUAGUAUUUUGUUUUCAAUAACAAUUUUCUUGCAUUAAUUUAUGAAUACCGAAGAAUAAGUAUAUUUUUUGAUUUAGCAAUUUUUUAUAUAUAUUGUUGAACGUAAUAUACUCUAUGGACAUAUCAAAGUUCUCUGCUACUUUUAGAAUUAUUAUCCAAUUUGUAAGCAUUAAGAACAGAGUGAAUGUGAAAAUGGAUUCAAAAUGGUUGCCCUGUGCUGGUGAUUUGCAGGAUGUACAAUAUGUUGAAAAAUUGCCAAAUAUUUUUUUCUAUAUUCUAUAUUCUUGUUUAUAUUAUAUUCAUUAAUUUAUGUAAGAAAAUUGUUAUUGAAAUCAAAAUAUCACUCAUGUUUCAAAGUAAGCGGUAAAGAUUUAUUAGACAGGUUUUUGUAGCACCUACAUAUGAAACAUUAUGGCAUCUGAAAGGAGGCCUGGGUAAGGCCAAAAUGUAAUAAAUAUGACUACUUCGAUUAAUUAUUUCUCAAUUCUGCUUUUAAAUACAAAUGUCAAAUAUAUGUCAAUCAUCCUUCCUCCAAAGAAGCAUUCUAUGGAUUAAAUGUUGUGAAAAUCUCCCAAAUCAUGGUAUUUUUUCAUCCUGGUUUUGUGAGGAAUCACCGACAUCCCAAAUAAGGGCACAAACGAUAUAAUGGCUCCAUGGGAUGCUGUCAUCUCAAUUUUAGGUGCUCUUUUUUGAUGAAAAAUAAUCUAAAUGAAGAAUAUCAAAUUGAUGGUAUAUCUGAUUUAUGCUCCCACGAGUGCAAUUUUAAUACUUGGUUUUAUUCUGUUUUCUAUUGUGGUCGAAGAAGCUGGCUUCAUGAGAGAAAAACAUCAAAUAAAUUAUUUGAAACUAA